UCACGAGUAUCUUUUUGGCUAUCAGGAAAAGAAAAUGAAAAAAAAAAAGAGCAUUUUUAUUUUUUAUGUAUCUGAAGGAGUAGAGAUUCAGGAAUCGAAGAUAACUAUGUUUUGUUAGAGAUGAACGCCCAAAACCGUAGCAAUAACCACAGAGAGAUUCCUCAAGGUAGAGGCAUUCAUCUUGAGAUCGGAGGUCCAAGUCAUGAUGAUGCAGAUUUUAAUAUGGAAGAUGUUGAGAAUGGAAUCAGGGAACCAAACCUUCUGGUGCACCAUCUCCCUGCAGCUGAAUCAACCAUAAGGACUGCAAAUCAGGUUCAGGGUCCUACAAGGGAUGAAAAUUAGUCAUAGGCAUAACAAGAAAUGCAGAAGAGGCAGAGAGUCUAGCAGUUUUUGAAGCCAUUAAAUGGGCCAGAAGCAAGAACUUGGAUUCUAUCAGUCUCUACAGUGAUGCAAACAAGAUCAUGGAUUACUUAGAAAAUAAAAAUAAUGGGUUAGCUUGGUUCAGUAGCACCAUUUUAGAUGACUGUCAUUUGAUUUUAAAUUCCUUUUCCUUUUCUAAAACUAGCCAUCUCAGUAGAGAUUUCAAUUCAGUUGCUGAUAAAUUAGCAAAGCAUUGUAGAAGAACCAAUACUUGUAAUGAGUGGUGGAAAAUUUCUCCUGAUUUCGUCUCACAA